AGAGUUUGAUCCUGGCUCAGGACGAACGCUGGCGGCGCGCCUAACACAUGCAAGUCGAACGAGCGAGAGAGAGCUUGCUUUCUCAAGCGAGUGGCGAACGGGUGAGUAACGCGUGAGGAACCUGCCUCAAAGAGGGGGACAACAGUUGGAAACGACUGCUAAUACCGCAUAAGCCCACGACCCGGCAUCGGGUAGAGGGAAAAGGAGCAAUCCGCUUUGAGAUGGCCUCGCGUCCGAUUAGCUAGUUGGUGAGGUAACGGCCCACCAAGGCGACGAUCGGUAGCCGGACUGAGAGGUUGAACGGCCACAUUGGGACUGAGACACGGCCCAGACUCCUACGGGAGGCAGCAGUGGGGAAUAUUGCACAAUGGGGGAAACCCUGAUGCAGCGACGCCGCGUGGAGGAAGAAGGUCUUCGGAUUGUAAACUCCUGUUGUUGAGGAAGAUAAUGACGGUACUCAACAAGGAAGUGACGGCUAACUACGUGCCAGCAGCCGCGGUAAAACGUAGGUCACAAGCGUUGUCCGGAAUUACUGGGUGUAAAGGGAGCGCAGGCGGGAAGACAAGUUGGAAGUGAAAUCCAUGGGCUCAACCCAUGAACUGCUUUCAAAACUGUUUUUCUUGAGUAGUGCAGAGGUAGGCGGAAUUCCCGGUGUAGCGGUGGAAUGCGUAGAUAUCGGGAGGAACACCAGUGGCGAAGGCGGCCUACUGGGCACCAACUGACGCUGAGGCUCGAAAGUGUGGGUAGCAAACAGGAUUAGAUACCCUGGUAGUCCACACCGUAAACGAUGAUUACUAGGUGUUGGAGGAUUGACCCCUUCAGUGCCGCAGUUAACACAAUAAGUAAUCCACCUGGGGAGUACGACCGCAAGGUUGAAACUCAAAGGA
rnacentral:rRNA from 1 species